GUCUUAGAACUGGCAACACCUGGCGGGGCACUUUGGGAGGCCGAGGCAGGCGGAUCGCUUGAGCCCAGGAGUUCAAGACCAGCCUGGGCAACAUGGUGAAACCCCGUCUCUACAAAAAAAAAUUUUUUCAUUAAAAAAAUUAGCCAGAACUGGCAUCACUCAAGAAUCUGAAGGACUCGGUUGAAUAAAGAUCAUGAUCCGAAGUUAAAAGGAGUUUCAGGCAUUUGGCAGACCAAGACACCAGGCUCAGUGAGGCCAUGUGGCUGAUCCAGGCUCCCAUAACCAGAGAAGUCAGGGGCAGAGCCAGAACCGAAGCAUCCUGCCUCCAGCCCUGAGCUCCGUCUGCUGUUGCCCCCUUUCAUGGGUGAUCAGGAGCUGUUUAUCUGCAAAACUGAUGGAAGUUUUAACAAGGUCCCUGGGGAGACAGGGAGAGAUGGUGCAUGUAUGUGUGUGCAUGAACCUCAGUGUUCACAGAACCUCCUGGCUUUCAUCUGGCCUCAGAAUACUGAAGUUGUCAUCAGCGUCGUCAUAAUCAUUAUCCUCCUCCUUAGAACCACAGCAGCUAUGUUCCUGGAGCACUUAGGAUAAGUCAAGCCAGUGGCUCUCAGCCCAGAGUGAUUUUGCCGCAGGGGACAUUUGACAGUGUCUAGUGGCAGGGAGACCAAGGCAAGAGCAUCAUGACAUGAAUGCGGAAGGAAGAUUAGAGCUGGCCAAAAGUGAAGUUGUACAAGACUCGGGUGGCAAGAGAGAGCAGCCAUCAUGCCCUGAAGAGUAACAUGGGUUGAAGACAAUGGGGAACAGAGGCUGGAGUGCUGGUCCUGUUUAUCCUCCAUCUUCCCUACCUCACAGCCAACUCUUCUUCCUGACAGUAGUCCCUCGAUGAACAACAGCCGACCUUAAGUUCACCACCAGAUGCUUCAUGACAAACUCACAGAGGCAAUAGCCACAAAGGGCCAAUAACUUUCCCUAGGCAUCUAUCCAAGCCCGCCUGCAUGGUCCCUUCCAACAGCUGGACGUAUUGGCUGCCAGAUGUCCCUGAAACUGCAGGCUGCCUUACCUAUGUCAGGUAAUUGGGCUUCUCUGAUUGACCCAUCACUGAGAUCAUCACUAGCAGAAGGGAUACUGUUCCAGAACUAGCAGCCUCCAUUUCCUCCUCCUUGGGAUGUGCGUUGUGAGAAGCUCAUGUCACAUAAAAGGCAACAUGUGGGCACCCCAACAGAUAAUCCCCAAUUGAACACCCACUCAACAACUAGCGCCAACUGCCGUCCAUGAGCAUGCACCAUCUUGGAUGUUCCAGCCCAGUCAAGCCCCAGAUGACUGCAGCUCCAGCCAAAAACACACGGAACAGAAGAACCACCCAGCUGAGCCCAGCCAAUCCCUGAGCCCAGGGAAUUAUGAUGAUGAAACUAUACCCUAAAGAGUUAAUGAAACCAAUGACAGAAAUUACUGAGUUUGCAGGAUAACAGAUAAGAAAAAAAACAACUUGCUGAGAUGCUGAAACUCCCUCCUCUUAGAUGGGGUUUUGCUGUGUUGCCCAGGCUGGUCUCGAACUCCUGCACUCUAGCAAUCCAUCCUCCUUGGCCUCUCAGAGUGCUAGGAUUACAGGCGCGAGCCACCGCACCCACCCAGAACUGAGACCUCUCCAAAGAAAAAGAAAUUCCACCCAUAGGCAGAACUUCAGUUCAGGGGCCUUCCCUUCCUAACAGCCUGCCGUUCUUCCUAACAGCCUGCCCUUCCUAACAAACAGCCUGCCCUUCCUAACAGCCUGCCCUUCUUCCUAACAGCCUGCUCUUCUUCCUAACAGCCUGCUCUUCUUCCUAACAGCCCGCCCUACAGAUUUCAGACCUUCCCAGCCAGCCCCCACCAUUGCAUAGGCCAGUUCCUUGUAAUAAAUCUCUUGAUAUAAUGU